rnacentral:rRNA from 1 species
GAUGAACGCUGGCGGCGUGCCCAAUACAUGCAAGUCGAGCGAACAGAUGAGGAGCUUGCUCCUCUGACGUUAGUGGCGGACGGGUGAGUAAAACGUGGAUAACCUGCCUAUAAGACUGGGAUAACUUAGGGAAACCGGAGCUAAUACCGGAUAAUAUAUUGAACCGCAUGGUUCAAUAGUGAAAGACGGUUUUGCUGUAACUUAUAGAUGGAUCCGCGCCGCAUUAGCUAGUUGGUAAGGUAACGGCUUACCAAGGCAACGAUGCGUAGCCGACCUGAGAGGGUGAACGGCCACACUGGAACUGAGAGACGGUCCAGACUCCUACGGGAGGCAGCAGUAGGUAAUCGUCCGCAAUGGGCGAAAGCCUGACGGAGCAACGCCGCGUGAGUGAUGAAGGUCCUCGGAUCGUAAAACUCUGUUAUUGGGGAAGAACAAAUGUGUAAGUAACUAUGCACGUCUUGACGGUACCUAAUCAGAAAGCCACGGCUAACUACGUG